AUACUUACCUGGCAGGGGCGAUACCAUGAUCACGAAGGUGGUUCACCCAGGGUGAGACUCUGCCAUUGCACUUGGGUGGUGCUGACCCUUGCGAAUUCCCCAAAUGCGGGAAUCUCGACUGCAUAAUUUCUGGUAGUGGGGGACUGCGUUCGCGCUCUCCCCUG
rnacentral:snRNA from 1 species